GAAUAAAGAGGAUGAUCUGGCUGCGACAUCUAUCACCCCAUUGAUUGCCAGGGUUGACUGGACUGAUCUGGCUGGUUAGGGGGGUGUCCCUCUCCUCCUCUUUCACCGAUCCCCCCCAAAGCUGCGUGCUGGAAGAGAAGAUGGGUCAAGGGUAUACGAGUAGCUGCACUCCCCUGCUAGAACCUCCAAACAAGCUCUCAGAAUAAAGGGGAUGUGAGUUGGCAACACCUGUAUAGAGUAAGCCAGUACU
rnacentral:snRNA from 1 species